UACAGAGGUCCCAAGCGUUGUUCGGAUUCAUUGGGCGUAAAGGGUGCGUAGGUGGCGCCAUAAGUCAGGUGUGAAAUUUCGGAGCUUAACUCCGAAACUGCAUUUGAUACUGUGGUGCUUGAGGACUGGAGAGGAGACUGGAAUUUACGGUGUAGCAGUGAAAUGCGUAGAGAUCGAUAAGGAAGACCAGUGGCGAAGGCGGGUCUCUGGACAGUUCCUGACACUGAGGCACGAAGGCCAGGGGAGCAAACGGG
rnacentral:rRNA from 1 species